AUCAAAGUGGAGUAGUGGUUUGAGUAUUGGACUAGAACUCUGAGACCAGAGUUCAAAUCUCUCCUUAGCUA